GACUGUAUUUUGCCUAUUCUCUUUCUACAGGUAUGGUGUUGGACGGCCCAGACAUAUACUUUGAGGUCCUGAGGAGGGACCUGUGUGGUAAUGGAGAGUGAGACUGUCUGUCUAAGCUGAGGAGUGGGGGGCACACAGGGAGGGUCCUGCGAGCCCAGGCCCACCUCUCUCGCUCUAACACUGGACCAGAUGGUCUCCCUGUGGAGGCAGUGUAGUCUCUGCUUCACUCCACCUGGUUGGCUCUGCAGCAUUUCCCCCCACCCAACCUCUACCCCCGCCUCUGUGGCCUACUGGCCCCUUUCACUGGGGCAAAGGGAUCCCGUCCCCAUUGCAAUCCUCCAUGCCUAAUCCCUGGGCAUAACCACCCGCCAUCACAUGACACGAUACCUGGCCAAUCGCCUCAUCACCCUAUCAGCUGGCUGGUGCAGGAGAUGGCUAGUGUUCUGAAGGAGCAGAAGGCUGUGAGCUGUGUGUCAGAGAAGGCCAAGUGGUGGGACAGGAGAAGGGCCCUGAACACACAGAUGGAGGUAAGACUCACUCAGACUGGUGGGAAGGGAAGUACAUCUGGGGUUGGUUGAAAAGGGAUAAAGUAAAAUGAGAGGGGUUCUGUUGCUGAAUGAAGCAUAUUAAUUCAAAAACGUAUGUUGAAGGAAUGCUUAUACUCUCGGUAAGAUUGGUG
rnacentral:lncRNA from 8 species